rnacentral:lncRNA from 1 species
CUCUUCCUUAGCUUCUCCUCAAGGUCCUGAAAUGGUUAUUCAAUAACCAAUGAGACCACGUCUCAGCGAGUCCUACCCCCUAAGACUCGAUUAGAAAGCCAAUACACUAUAGGCUGCUUAAACACGGCACGAGUUGGAGGACUUACCUUGGCCUCAAAUUCCAUCUGCAUAUUAGUACAGUUCAAUAGGCAUUCAAGCAAUCACAUCACCGAUCGAAGCAUCGAUCGAAUCGACCUAGUCGAUUUCAUAUCAGUCGAACCCUUUCAAGAACUAGUGGCUUUACGGUCCCACCCGACCCUCUCAAGAACUAGUGGCUUUACGGUCCCACCCGACCCUCUCAAGAACUAGUGGCUUUACGGUCCCACCCGACCCUCUCCAGAACCAGUGGCUUUACGGUCCCACCCGACCCUCUCAAGAACUAGUGGCUUUACGGUCCCACCCGACCCUCUCAAGAACUAGUGGCUUUACGGUCCCACCCGACCCUCUCCAGAUUCAAUUUUGGAAUAAAUCUUAAAUUCACUCAUAAAUUACUUUAGCACCAAAUAAAGCUCAAAUAAAUAAACGGACUGCACCACGACAAUUAGCACAAAAUUCCGGUCACCGGCCAUCCCAGUUGAAUUUCCGGAAAAAUAAAUAAUUAAAUAAUUAAUUUCGAAAAUUAAAUAAAUAAUUAUAAAAAUCCAAUUUAGGCUUAUAAUGCCGAAUUGGAUUCCGAGACAAGCCCGGAAAAUUACCGAGACUCGCUCCAUAAAUAACAUGGCAUGUCUACUUGCUAAUGUCUAUUUCUAACCACCUAACAUGCAUCAUUAAGUCUCUAAUUUAAUUGAUCUAAACUAAUCUAACCACCUAAUUGCAUUUAAUUAAAUCUAACCAACCCCUAAGCAUAUUUAGCAAACUAAGAAAGCUUUAGUGAGUAAAACUCACUUGACAAAAGCGGAGAUCGAAUCACCGCGACGGCAACAUGACGGCGGCCGAAAUUGGACUUUCGACAACACCGGCGGACUUGGACCGGGCCUUAAGCUUAGGCCCAACAAAUCUCAGCCCAACUGAGAUUUGUUCUUGCUUUUGGGCCAGACCCAAGUUGGGUUGGGCCUGCUGAAAUGGGCUUGACCAAUUAAUUCACUUGGAUUGGACUGGGCUUGAAGACUGCAGGAGAUGGGCCUCAGAAAAUUCUGUUGAUGGGCUGCUGGACAAAGACUUCGCAGGCUUCAUGGCUGAAGAAGAAGGCCCAAAGAAGCUGCUGGUUCUGUUGAAAUCAAU